AAGGAUGGACCUGGAGGGCAUUAUAGUAACAAAGGUGAAGGAAAUCAUCCAAGUGAUCCAUCAUACAGUACUUCCAGUUCCAAAGCAUACUGACUUACUUCAGAUCUGUCCCUAAUGCUUUAUUAGUCACCUAUAGGCCUGUUCUCAGUUAUGUGGGCUCCAAGGAGGGGGUCACCACUCAC